GCCGGAAUAGCUCAUUUGGUAGAGCAAAGGACUGAAAAUC
rnacentral:tRNA from 3 species